AUUUUCGGCAAUGGGGGCAACCCUGACCGAGCGACGCCGCGUGAGUGAAGAAGGCUUUCGAGUCGUAAAACUCUGUCCUUGGGGACGAUAAUGACGGUACCCAAGGAGGAAGCCCCGGCUAACUACGUGCCAGCAGCCGCGGUAAUACGUAGGGGGCGAGCGUUGUCCGGAAUUAUUGGGCGUAAAGGUUUCGCAGGCGGCCGAUUAAGUCAGAUGUGAAAUCCCACGGCUUAACCGUGGUAAGCAUUUGAAACUGAUUGGCUUGAGUUAAGGAGAGGAAAGUGGAAUUCCUAGUGUAGCGGUGAAAUGCGUAGAUAUUAGGAGGAAUACCAGUGGCGAAGGCGACUUUCUGGACUUAUACUGACGCUGAGGAACGAAAGCGUGGGGAGCAAACA
rnacentral:rRNA from 1 species